rnacentral:rRNA from 1 species
GUCGAGCGAGAACAGAGACUUCGGUCUCUCAGUAAAGCGGCGGACGGGUGAGUAACACGUGGAUAAUCUGCCCUUUGGCGGGGGACAACAAUUCGAAAGGAUUGCUAAUACCGCAUAAGUCUAACGAGCCUCCGGGUUCGUUAGGGAAAGAUGGCCUCUUCUUGAAAGCCGUCACCGAAGGAUGAGUCCGCGUUGCAUCAGCUUGUUGGUGGGGUAAUGGCCUACCAAGGCGAAGACGCAUAGCUGGUCUGAGAGGAUGAUCAGCCACACUGGGACUGAGAUACGGCCCAGACUCCUACGGGAGGCAGCAGUGGGGAAUAUUGGACAAUGGGCGAAAGCCUGAUCCAGCCAUCCCGCGUGAGUGAUGAAGGCUCUCGGGUCGUAAAGCUCUGUGGGGAGAGACGAAACCUGAUCGGUUAAUACCCGGUCAACUGACGGUAUCUCUUUAGCAAGCACCGGCUAACUCCGUGCCAGCAGCCGCGGUAAUACGGAGGGUGCAAACGUUGCUCGGAAUCAUUGGGCGUAAAGCGCGCGUAGGCGGCUUGAUAAGUCGAAUGUGAAAGCCCUCGGCUUAACCGGGGAAGUGCAUACGAAACUGUCAGGCUUGAGUAUGGGAGAGGAUUGC